GGACCGACCCUUCGGGGAGCUUGAACAGGUGCUGCAUGGCUGUCGUCAGCGUCGUGUCGUGAGAUGUUCCGGUUAAGUCCGCUAACGAGCGCAACCCUCGCUGUGUGUUACAAGUGUCACACGGAACUGCCGGUCAUAAACCGGAGGAAGGUGGGGAUGACGUCAAGUCAGCAUGGCCUUUAUAUCCUGGGCUACACACACGCUACAAUGGGAAGGGACAAUAGGUUGCGAAGCCGCGAGGCGGAGCCAAUCCAGCAAAACUUCCCUCAGUUCAGAUUGCAGGCUGCAACUCGCCUGCAUGAAGUUGGAGUUGCUAGUAAACGCAGGUCAGCCAUACUGCGUUGAAUACGUUCCCGGGGCUU
rnacentral:rRNA from 1 species